GUUUGCGAUCAUACCAGCACUAAAGCACCGGAUCCCAUCAGAACUCCGAAGUUAAGCGUGCUUGGGUGAGAGUAGUACUAGGAUGGGUCACCUCCUGGGAAGUCCUGGUGUUGCAUUCC
rnacentral:rRNA from 1 species